rnacentral:tRNA from 1 species
GGGGUCGUGGGGUAGCCUGGUCUAUCCUUCUGGCUUAAGGCCCACGAGGCCUGCCGAACGGGGCUUAGACCUUAAGCGCAAAAGCCAGAGACCCGAGUUCAAAUCUCGGCGACCCCA